rnacentral:rRNA from 1 species
AGAGUUUGAUCAUGGCUCAGAUUGAACGCUGGCGGCGUGCUUAACACAUGCAAGUCGAACGCGAAAGCACCUUCGGGUGUGAGUAGAGUGGCGGACGGGUGAGUAACGCGUGAGAAUCUACCUUGCAGUGGGGGACAACCCGGGGAAACUCGGGCUAAUACCGCAUACGACCUACGGGAGAAAGGGGGCUUCGGCUCUCGCUGCAAGAUGAGCCCGCGUCCGAUUAUCUAGUUGGUGGGGUAAAGGCCCACCAAGGCGACUAUCGGUAUCUGGUCUGAGAAGAUGAUCACCCACACUGGGACUGAGACACGGCCCACACUCCUACGGGAGGCAGCAGUGGGGAAUAUUGGACAAUGGGCGAAAGCCUGAUCCAGCAGUGCCGCGUGUGUGAAGAACGCCUGCGGGUUGUAAAGCACUUUCAGUGGGGAAGAAAAGUCCAAGGUUAAUACCCUUGGGCGUUGACGUUACCCACAGAAGAAGCACCGGCUAACUCCGUGCCAGCAGCCGCGGUAAUACAGAGGGUGCGAGCGUUAAUCAGAAUCACUGGGCGUAGAGCGCACGUACGCGGCUGAGUAACUCAUAUGUGAAAGCCCCGGUCUCAACCUGAGAACUGCAUUUGAUACUGCUUGGCUUGAGUAUGGUAGAGGGGUGUGGAAUUCCAUGUGUAGCGGUGAAGUGCGUAUAUAUCUGGAAGAACACCAGUGGCGAAGGCGGCCCUCUGGACCAAUACUGACUCUGAGGUGCGAAAGCGUGGAGAGCAAACAAGAUUAUAUACCC